rnacentral:rRNA from 1 species
UACGUAGGGAGCAAGCGUUGUCCGGAAUCAUUGGGCGUAAAGCGCGCGUAGGUGGCCCCAUAAGUCCGCUGUGAAAGUCAAAGGCUCAACCUUUGAAAGCCGGUGGAUACUGUGGGACUAGAGUACGGAAGAGGCGAGUGGAAUUCCUGGUGUAGCGGUGGAAUGCGCAGAUAUCAGGAGGAACACCAAUAGCGAAGGCAGCUCGCUGGGACGUUACUGACACUGAGGCGCGGAAGCGUGGGGAGCGAACAGG